rnacentral:misc_RNA from 1 species
GUAACAAGGUUUCCGUAGGUGAACCUGCGGAAGGAUCAUUACUGAUUUGCUUAAUUGCACCACAUGUGUUUUGUUCUGGACAAACUUGCUUUGGCGGUGGGCCCCUGCCUGCCGCCAGAGGACAUAAACUUACAACCAAAUUUUUUAUAAACUUGUCACGAGAUUAUUUUUAAUAGUCAAAACUUUCAACAACGGAUCUCUUGGUUCUCGCAUCGAUGAAGAACGCAGCGAAAUGCGAUACGUAAUAUGAAUUGCAGAUAUUCGUGAAUCAUCGAAUCUUUGAACGCACAUUGCGCCCUCUGGUAUUCCGGAGGGCAUGCCUGUUUGAGCGUCGUUUCUCCCUCAAACCCCUAGGGUUUGGUGUUGAGCAAUACGACUUGGGUUUGCUUGAAAGAUGAUAGUGGUAUAAGGCGGAGAUGCUUGACAAUGGCUUAGGUGUAACCAAAAACAUUGCUAAGGCGGUCUCUGGCGUCGCCCAUUUUAUUCUUCAAACUUUGACCUCAAAUCAGGUAGGACUACCCGCUGAACUUAAGCAUAUC